rnacentral:rRNA from 1 species
UACGGAGGGUGCGAGCGUUAAUCGGAAUUACUGGGCGUAAAGCGCACGCAGGCGGUUUGUUAAGCUAGAUGUGAAAGCCCCGAGCUCAACCUGGGAUGGUCAUUUAGAACUGGCAGACUAGAGUCUUGGAGAGGGGAGUGGAAUUCCAGGUGUAGCGGUGAAAUGCGUAGAUAUCUGGAGUAACAUCAGUGGCGAAGGCGACUCCCUGGCCAAAGACUGACGCUCAUGUGCGAAAGUGUGGGUAGCGAACAGG